rnacentral:rRNA from 1 species
GUUCGGAAACGGACGCUAAUACCGCAUACGUCCUACGGGAGAAAGCAGGGGACCUUCGGGCCUUGCGCUAUCAGAUGAGCCUAGGUCGGAUUAGCUAGUUGGUGAGGUAAUGGCUCACCAAGGCUACGAUCCGUAACUGGUCUGAGAGGAUGAUCAGUCACACUGGAACUGAGACACGGUCCAGACUCCUACGGGAGGCAGCAGUGGGGAAUAUUGGACAAUGGGCGAAAGCCUGAUCCAGCCAUGCCGCGUGUGUGAAGAAGGUCUUCGGAUUGUAAAGCACUUUAAGUUGGGAGGAAGGGCAGUUACCUAAUACGUGAUUGUCUUGACGUUACCGACAGAAUAAGCACCGGCUAACUCUGUGCCAGCAGCCGCGGUAAU